rnacentral:rRNA from 1 species
UACGUAGGGGGCUAGCGUUGUCCGGAAUCAUUGGGCGUAAAGCGCGUGUAGGCGGUCCGGUAAGUCCGCUGUGAAAGUCGGGGGCUCAACCCUCGGAUGCCGGUGGAUACUGUCGGGCUUGAGUACGGAAGAGGAGAGUGGAAUUCCUGGUGUAGCGGUGAAAUGCGCAGAUAUCAGGAGGAACACCCGUGGCGAAGGCGGCUCUCUGGGACGGUACUGACGGCUGAGACGCGAAAGCGUGGGGAGCGAACAGG